GAUGAACGCUGCCAGAAUGCUUAACACAUGCAAGUCAACUGUGGCGGACGGGUGAGUAACGCGUAAAGAACUUGCCUCACAGAUAGGGACCACAUUUGGAAACGACUGCUAAUACCUGAUACUGUGAGAGAGCUUUGCGUCCCCUUAGCUAGUUGGAGAGGUAACGGCUCACCAAGGCGAUGAUGGGUAGCCGGCCUGAGAGGGUGAUUGGCCACAAGGGGACUGAGACACGGCCCUUACUCCUACGUGAGGCAGCAGGGGGGAAUAUAGGACAAUGGACCAAAGUCUGAUCCAGCAAUUCUGUGUGCACGAUGAAGUUGUCGGAAUGUAAAGUGCUUUCAGUUGGGAAGCGGUACCAACAGAAGAAGUGACGGCUAAAUACGUGCCAGCCGCCGCGGUAAUAC
rnacentral:rRNA from 1 species